rnacentral:rRNA from 1 species
GUGGGGAAUAUUGGACAAUGGGCGAAAGCCUGAUCCAGCCAUGCCGCGUGUGUGAAGAAGGUCUUCGGAUUGUAAAGCACUUUAAGUUGGGAGGAAGGGCAGUAAGUUAAUACCUUGCUGUUUUGACGUUACCGACAGAAUAAGCACCGGCUAACUUCGUGCCAGCAGCCGCGGUAAUACGAAGGGUGCAAGCGUUAAUCGGAAUUACUGGGCGUAAAGCGCGCGUAGGUGGUUUUGUAAGUUGGAGGUGAAAUCCCCGGGCUGAACCUGGGAACUGCCUACAAAACUGCAUGAAUAGAGUACGGUAGAGGGUAGUGGAAUUUCCUGUGUAGCGGUGAAAUGCGUAGAUAUAGGAAGGAACACCAGUGGCGAAGGCGACUACCUGGACUGAUACUGACACUGAGGUGCGAAAGCGUGGGGAGCAAACAGGAUUAGAAACCCUUGUAGUCC